CCCCAGCAGGCCCCAGCCAGCAACUCCCUCGCGCACGCGCGGCAUCCCCGCCGGCCGGCUGGCAACUCCUCCCGUUCGCACCCUCCUUUCCUUCCACGGCGAGAGCCAAAACUGGCAACGGCAUUCCUAUAAGCAUGCGCCCCUGCUUGCUCCGGCCGACGCCCCCUCUCCCCCCGAUCCCCCGCUCCGCCGCACCCUAGCCGUCUCGGGCGCGUAGAUCCAUCGGACGCGGCGCUCGCCGGCCCCGAGGAGAGAUGGCCUCCCUGAACUCCCGGCCGCUCCCCGCGGGUCUCGCGGCCCAGCAGCAGGGCGCGGCGACCGCGCCGCAGUCGCCGCGAGGCGCCCCGGGGUUCGCCGUGGCGGCGGCGGAGAAGCAGGGCGCGGCAAUGGUGGCGGCGCCGCCGUACCCGCGAGGCGGCGCUCCCGGGUUCGCGGUGGUGCCUCAGGGGGCCGCGCCCGCGUCCCCGCAGGGCCCUCCAGGGUUUUGGGUGGCGCCUCAGCAGAGCGCGCCGGCGCCGUCGCAAGUUGCUCCCGUGGUGGCGCCGCUGCAGGGCGCGAUCGGGAUGGCUCCACAGCAGCAGCAGCAGCAUUUCGCGCCUGUGAUGGUGCCCGGCUCCCAGCAAGGUAUGCAGAUGGCCGUGCAGCCGGCGUCCAUGGCUAUGAUGAUGGCCUCGAUGUCCCAGCAAGCCCAGGCACAGGCCAUGGCUGCACACCAGCCAGCGCAAGGCAUGGCGCCAUCACAGUCUCUGCCCACGUACCUUCUGUCGAUGAUGCAGAUGCAGCAAGCUCAAGCGGGGCACAUGAUGGAAACUCCACCUCUGCCGCUUGGCCCUCCGCCAUUGGUACAGCAGCAGCAGCAGCAGCAGCCUUCACAGGCCGAUCCAGCGAUGACGGCUCAACCCCCUCUGCCGCUCAGACCCCCACCGGUGAUGCUGCAACAACAGACUGCACAAGGAGGCCCGGUGAUGAUGACACAAUCACCUUUGCCAUUCAGCUCUCCAUCAGUGAUGCUGCCGCAAAAUCCACAGAUCAAUCAGAUGAUGAUGGGACAGCCACAAUUGUCUGCUCUACCAUGCAAGCGCCAACGUGUUGACCAAUACGACAAUCCUUAUGGACAGCAUAUGACAGGCCAUCAGCAGGAAACAACAAUAUUCAAUACAGCAAUGGGACAAUCUUUUGGGCCUAACUUACACAAUGAGUUUUCUUCUUUUGGUGCGUCUAUGCCCUCCUCUCUUCCUAAAGAUGCAACAAGCACCGUUUAUGUUGACGGUCUCCCUAACAACUGUACAAGACGGGAAGUUGCACGUGAUUGGCCCCCAUUGACUAUUUUUCUUAGAUAUCUUUCGCCAAUAUAUGGGGUUCCGCGAAGUGCGAUUGGUCAACAAAGGGUCUAGUAGACAUGCAAUAUGCUUUGUUGAUUUUGCUACUCCUACGCAUGCUUUUCUCGCUAUGAGAACUCUCCAAGUUGGAGACAGUGUUGAGGUUAUAAGUUCGACGAACAGGAUCCUAAUUCACGCAUUUUGAACCUACAGUUCUCUCACUCUCCUCGCAUGAGCUCACAUGGUGGGUACUAGUCACUAAAUUGUUCUACACCAUCCUGUUAUUUUGACAUGGAAAGCAGCAGCCGAUCUUGCUUCUGUCAGUCAUUAGCAUGAAAGAACAACUCAGCCGAUCUUGCUUCUGUCUGCCAUUAGCAUGAAAGAACAACUCGACUGUGAUUUAGGCUUUGGCUUAUAACACUCUGACAAACCUACCUAUGUUACAACUGACACCAGUACUUGACUGCUGAAGGUUACCUUACUAGUUACUAUAUGAUAUUACUAUAGUUGCUGUGGCGCAUUGUAACAGCAAGUACGUUACAGUGAAUUUCAAACUCUUUGAGCCACCUGGUAGUAUUGAUGCUUUGUGCUUUUGCUGGUUCUGA